ACAGGGCGCCCGGCGCGCCUCGGAGCGCAAGUUCCUCGCCUUCUCCUGCCCGCUCGCUGGGCAUUAUGCGGCCAAGCAGCCGAGCCCCAGUCCUCCUCCUCCUCCUGCUCCUCCGGCUCCUCCUGCGGCCCGAGCGGCUCAGCUCUCGGCAGGCGGCGGCGUUGCUCAGCCGAGCGCAGACGGGACCCUCGCAGCGAGACCUCAGCGACUCCUAAAGUCAAAAGUUGGCGGCGGGCGCCGGGCUCCGCGCGCUCUCCACGGCCGCUGCCUCGCGUCGCCGCCGCAGCCAAGGAGGGCAGGAGGGAGGGGGGUGGGGGCAGCGGAGGGAGGGGUGGGAAGCACCAUGCAGUUUGUAUCCUGGGCCACACUGCUAACGCUCCUGGUGCGGGACCUGGCCGAGAUGGGGAGCCCAGACGCCGCGGCGGCCGUGCGCAAGGACAGGCUGCACCCGAGGCAAGUGAAAUUAUUAGAGACCCUGAGCGAAUACGAAAUCGUGUCUCCCAUCCGAGUGAACGCUCUCGGAGAACCCUUUCCCACGAACGUCCACUUCAAAAGAACGCGACGGAGCAUUAACUCUGCCACUGACCCCUGGCCUGCCUUCGCCUCCUCCUCUUCCUCCUCUACCUCCUCCCAGGCGCAUUACCGCCUCUCUGCCUUCGGCCAGCAGUUUCUAUUUAAUCUCACCGCCAAUGCCGGAUUUAUCGCUCCACUGUUCACUGUCACCCUCCUCGGGACGCCCGGGGUGAAUCAGACCAAGUUUUAUUCCGAAGAGGAAGCGGAACUCAAGCACUGUUUCUACAAAGGCUAUGUCAAUACCAACUCCGAGCACACGGCCGUCAUCAGCCUCUGCUCAGGAAUGCUGGGCACAUUCCGGUCUCAUGAUGGGGAUUAUUUUAUUGAACCACUACAGUCUAUGGAUGAACAAGAAGAUGAAGAGGAACAAAACAAACCCCACAUCAUUUAUAGGCGCAGCGCCCCCCAGAGAGAGCCCUCAACAGGAAGGCAUGCAUGUGACACCUCAGAACACAAAAAUAGGCACAGUAAAGACAAGAAGAAAACCAGAGCAAGAAAAUGGGGAGAAAGGAUUAACCUGGCUGGUGACGUAGCAGCAUUAAACAGCGGCUUAGCAACAGAGGCAUUUUCUGCUUAUGGUAAUAAGACGGACAACACAAGAGAAAAGAGGACCCACAGAAGGACAAAACGUUUUUUAUCCUAUCCACGGUUUGUAGAAGUCUUGGUGGUGGCAGACAACAGAAUGGUUUCAUACCAUGGAGAAAACCUUCAACACUAUAUUUUAACUUUAAUGUCAAUUGUAGCCUCUAUCUAUAAAGACCCAAGUAUUGGAAAUUUAAUUAAUAUUGUUAUUGUGAACUUAAUUGUGAUUCAUAAUGAACAGGAUGGGCCUUCCAUAUCUUUUAAUGCUCAGACAACAUUAAAAAACUUUUGCCAGUGGCAGCAUUCGAAGAACAGUCCAGGUGGAAUCCAUCAUGAUACUGCUGUUCUCUUAACAAGACAGGAUAUCUGCAGAGCUCACGACAAAUGUGAUACCUUAGGCCUGGCUGAACUGGGAACCAUUUGUGAUCCCUAUAGAAGCUGUUCUAUUAGUGAAGAUAGUGGAUUGAGUACAGCUUUUACGAUCGCCCAUGAGCUGGGCCAUGUGUUUAACAUGCCUCAUGAUGACAACAACAAAUGUAAAGAAGAAGGAGUUAAGAGUCCCCAGCAUGUCAUGGCUCCAACACUGAACUUCUACACCAACCCCUGGAUGUGGUCAAAGUGUAGUCGAAAAUAUAUCACUGAGUUUUUAGACACUGGUUAUGGCGAGUGUUUGCUUAACGAACCUGAAUCCAGACCCUACCCUUUGCCUGUCCAACUGCCAGGCAUCCUUUACAACGUGAAUAAACAAUGUGAAUUGAUUUUUGGACCAGGUUCUCAGGUGUGCCCAUAUAUGAUGCAGUGCAGACGGCUCUGGUGCAAUAACGUCAAUGGAGUACACAAAGGCUGCCGGACUCAGCACACACCCUGGGCCGAUGGGACGGAGUGCGAGCCUGGAAAGCACUGCAAGUAUGGAUUUUGUGUUCCCAAAGAAAUGGAUGUCCCCGUGACAGAUGGAUCCUGGGGAAGUUGGAGUCCCUUUGGAACCUGCUCCAGAACAUGUGGAGGGGGCAUCAAAACAGCCAUUCGAGAGUGCAACAGACCAGAACCAAAAAAUGGUGGAAAAUACUGUGUAGGACGUAGAAUGAAAUUUAAGUCCUGCAACACGGAGCCAUGUCUCAAGCAGAAGCGAGACUUCCGAGAUGAACAGUGUGCUCACUUUGACGGGAAGCAUUUUAACAUCAACGGUCUGCUUCCCAAUGUGCGCUGGGUCCCUAAAUACAGUGGAAUUCUGAUGAAGGACCGGUGCAAGUUGUUCUGCAGAGUGGCAGGGAACACAGCCUACUAUCAGCUUCGAGACAGAGUGAUAGAUGGAACUCCUUGUGGCCAGGACACAAAUGAUAUCUGUGUCCAGGGCCUUUGCCGGCAAGCUGGAUGCGAUCAUGUUUUAAACUCAAAAGCCCGGAGAGAUAAAUGUGGGGUUUGUGGUGGCGAUAAUUCUUCAUGCAAAACAGUGGCAGGAACAUUUAAUACAGUACAUUAUGGUUACAAUACUGUGGUCCGAAUUCCAGCUGGUGCUACCAAUAUUGAUGUGCGGCAGCACAGUUUCUCAGGGGAAACAGACGAUGACAACUACUUAGCUUUAUCAAGCAGUAAAGGUGAAUUCUUGCUAAAUGGAAACUUUGUUGUCACAAUGGCCAAAAGGGAAAUUCGCAUUGGGAAUGCUGUGGUAGAGUACAGUGGGUCCGAGACUGCCGUAGAAAGAAUUAACUCAACAGAUCGCAUUGAGCAAGAACUUUUGCUUCAGGUUUUGUCGGUGGGAAAGUUGUACAACCCCGAUGUACGCUAUUCUUUCAAUAUUCCAAUUGAAGAUAAACCUCAGCAGUUUUACUGGAACAGUCAUGGGCCAUGGCAAGCAUGCAGUAAACCCUGCCAAGGGGAACGGAAACGAAAACUUGUUUGCACCAGGGAAUCUGAUCAGCUUACUGUUUCUGAUCAAAGAUGCGAUCGGCUGCCCCAGCCUGGACACAUUACUGAACCCUGUGGUACAGACUGUGACCUGAGGUGGCAUGUUGCCAGCAGGAGUGAAUGUAGUGCCCAGUGUGGCUUGGGUUACCGCACAUUGGACAUCUACUGUGCCAAAUAUAGCAGGCUGGAUGGGAAGACUGAGAAGGUUGAUGAUGGUUUUUGCAGCAGCCAUCCCAAACCAAGCAACCGUGAAAAAUGCUCAGGGGAAUGUAACACGGGUGGCUGGCGCUAUUCUGCCUGGACUGAAUGUUCAAAAAGCUGUGACGGUGGGACCCAGAGGAGAAGGGCUAUUUGUGUCAAUACCCGAAAUGAUGUACUGGAUGACAGCAAAUGCACACAUCAAGAGAAAGUUACCAUUCAGAGGUGCAGUGAGUUCCCUUGUCCACAGUGGAAAUCUGGAGACUGGUCAGAGUGCUUGGUCACCUGUGGAAAAGGGCAUAAGCACCGCCAGGUCUGGUGUCAGUUUGGUGAAGAUCGAUUAAAUGAUAGAAUGUGUGACCCUGAGACCAAGCCAACAUCUAUGCAGACUUGUCAGCAGCCGGAAUGUGCAUCCUGGCAGGCGGGUCCCUGGGGACAGUGCAGUGUCACUUGUGGACAGGGAUACCAGCUAAGAGCAGUGAAAUGCAUCAUUGGGACUUAUAUGUCAGUGGUAGAUGACAAUGACUGUAAUGCAGCAACUAGACCAACUGAUACCCAGGACUGUGAAUUACCAUCAUGUCAUCCUCCCCCAGCUGCCCCGGAAACGAGGAGAAGCACAUACAGUGCACCAAGAACCCAGUGGCGAUUUGGGUCUUGGACCCCAUGCUCAGCCACUUGUGGGAAAGGUACCCGGAUGAGAUACGUCAGCUGCCGAGAUGAGAAUGGCUCUGUGGCUGACGAGAGUGCCUGUGCUACCCUGCCUAGACCAGUGGCAAAGGAAGAAUGUUCUGUGACACCCUGUGGGCAAUGGAAGGCCUUGGACUGGAGCUCUUGCUCUGUGACCUGUGGGCAAGGUAGGGCAACCCGGCAAGUGAUGUGUGUCAACUACAGUGACCACGUGAUCGAUCGGAGUGAGUGUGACCAGGAUUAUAUCCCAGAAACUGACCAGGACUGUUCCAUGUCACCAUGCCCUCAAAGGACCCCAGACAGUGGCUUAGCUCAGCACCCCUUCCAAAAUGAGGACUAUCGUCCCCGGAGCGCCAGCCCCAGCCGCACCCAUGUGCUCGGUGGAAACCAGUGGAGAACUGGCCCCUGGGGAGCAUGUUCCAGUACCUGUGCUGGCGGAUCCCAGCGGCGUGUUGUUGUAUGUCAGGAUGAAAAUGGAUACACCGCAAACGACUGUGUGGAGAGAAUAAAACCUGAUGAGCAAAGAGCCUGUGAAUCCGGCCCUUGUCCUCAGUGGGCUUAUGGCAACUGGGGAGAGUGCACUAAGCUGUGUGGUGGAGGCAUAAGAACAAGACUGGUGGUCUGUCAGCGGUCCAACGGUGAACGGUUUCCAGAUUUGAGCUGUGAAAUUCUUGAUAAACCUCCCGAUCGUGAGCAGUGUAACACACAUGCUUGUCCACACGACGCUGCAUGGAGUACUGGCCCUUGGAGCUCGUGUUCUGUCUCUUGUGGUCGAGGGCAUAAACAACGAAAUGUUUACUGCAUGGCAAAAGAUGGAAGCCAUUUAGAAAGUGAUUACUGUAAGCACCUGGCUAAGCCACAUGGGCACAGAAAGUGCCGAGGAGGAAGAUGCCCCAAAUGGAAAGCUGGCGCUUGGAGUCAGUGCUCUGUGUCCUGUGGCCGAGGCGUACAGCAGAGGCAUGUGGGCUGUCAGAUCGGAACACACAAAAUAGCCAGAGAGACCGAGUGCAACCCAUACACCAGACCGGAGUCGGAACGCGACUGCCAAGGCCCACGGUGUCCCCUCUACACUUGGAGGGCAGAGGAAUGGCAAGAAUGCACCAAGACCUGCGGCGAAGGCUCCAGGUACCGCAAGGUGGUGUGUGUGGAUGACAACAAAAACGAGGUGCAUGGGGCACGCUGUGACGUGAGCAAGCGGCCGGUGGACCGUGAAAGCUGUAGUUUGCAACCCUGCGAGUAUGUCUGGAUCACAGGAGAAUGGUCAGAGUGCUCAGUGACCUGUGGAAAAGGCUACAAACAAAGGCUUGUCUCGUGCAGCGAGAUUUACACCGGGAAGGAGAAUUAUGAAUACAGCUACCAAACCACCAUCAACUGCCCAGGCACGCAGCCCCCCAGUGUUCACCCCUGUUACCUGAGGGACUGCCCUGUCUCGGCCACCUGGAGAGUUGGCAACUGGGGGAGCUGCUCAGUGUCUUGUGGUGUUGGAGUGAUGCAGAGAUCUGUGCAAUGUUUAACCAAUGAGGACCAACCCAGCCACUUAUGCCACACUGAUCUGAAGCCAGAAGAACGAAAAACCUGCCGUAAUGUCUAUAACUGUGAGUUACCCCAGAAUUGCAAGGAGGUAAAAAGACUUAAAGGUGCCAGUGAAGAUGGUGAAUAUUUCCUGAUGAUUAGAGGAAAGCUUCUGAAGAUAUUCUGUGCGGGGAUGCACUCUGACCACCCCAAAGAGUACGUGACACUGGUGCAUGGAGACUCUGAGAAUUUCUCCGAGGUUUAUGGGCACAGGUUACACAACCCAACAGAAUGUCCCUAUAACGGGAGCCGGCGCGAUGACUGCCAAUGUCGGAAGGAUUACACGGCCGCUGGGUUUUCCAGUUUUCAGAAAAUCAGAAUAGACCUGACCAGCAUGCAGAUAAUCACCACUGACUUACAGUUUGCAAGGACAAGCGAAGGACAUCCCGUCCCUUUUGCCACAGCCGGGGAUUGCUACAGCGCUGCCAAGUGCCCACAGGGUCGUUUUAGCAUCAACCUUUAUGGAACCGGCUUGUCUUUAACUGAAUCUGCCAGAUGGAUAUCACAAGGGAAUUAUGCUGUCUCUGACAUCAAGAAGUCGCCGGAUGGUACCCGAGUCGUAGGGAAAUGCGGUGGUUACUGUGGAAAAUGCACUCCAUCCUCUGGUACUGGCCUGGAGGUGCGAGUUUUAUAGCUAAGCUCUGGUUAGGUCGCAUGGUCGCUUUUGAACAAAUCACAACAUCCAAGGAUCUGAGAUCAUGUACCCACCUAGAGUCAGGCGAUUGACAGCUUCAGUUGGAAGAGGGAUGGUUCCCAAAGGACAAGAAGGCAUUUUGUUAUCAGAAAGGAGGAGAUGGGAUGGAGGCAUGGAAAAAUCAGCAGGUGCUUUGAAGAGGAAGCCAUUAUGGAUGGAUGAAGGAUAGUAAUGCAAUACCUCCACCUUAAUUUGGGUGCAUGUGUAUGUGUGUGUGUGUUUGUGUGUGACUUGUAUGCUUGUGUGUGUAAAUGUGUGUACAUAUACAUAUAUACAUAUCUACACAUACAUAUAUACACAUAUAUGUGUGUAUGUAGAUAUGUAGACUAUCCUAAUGAUGUAAAGUUUAAUAUUUAUGUUUGAAAUUAUUUAUUGUGAUGUAAUAUUUUUGUACGUAAAAUGAUUCUAUUAUGACUGCCUUUGCAUGUAGUAAUAUGACAAAGUGAUCCUUCAUUAUCACGGUACACUAUUGUUUACUUUUCAUCUGUAAAUGUUUUAUUGUUACUUUUUUAAAAUGAAUUUUUUUAAAACAAUCUAGCCAUCAUCAAGGUGCUAUAAGAGUUGUAUAAAAGAUAUUUUUGGCAUUUCUAGGCAAGUAUCAGCCAAUAAGUAUGUUAGUGAUAUCACAGAUUGUACCAACUAUUAACUAUGUUAAAUAAGUAUUCAGUUUCAUGUGAUCUCUGGGAAAAAAAUAUGCUGCCUUGGUGCUAAUAUUGUAUGUAUUUAAAUGAUCAUCCGACUCAGAAAUAUAAACACUUUUAAUGAAAGGGAGGAACGGAAGGACAAUUUCCAGUGCACAGAAUCACUUGGAUGAAAUAAGACCAGCUCUUUACCCUUAUUUUUGGAUAUGCCUUUUUUGGAAGAGACUUAGACUUUAUCCUUAUUGUUGUUAGUGUUGUUAAUAUUCGUUGCUUCAGCCCACGGUGCCUUGGUCUCUCCACAAUCAAAUGGAGGAUCCCCCAAGCAGCUUCAUUACAGAGUGAUAUUGGGAAAGUGAGAUCCUCUCACCAUUUUGCCAAGAUACUCUAAAAUGACAUCCAAGUUUACCAGUAGAAAGACACAGGAUGCACAGAAUGGGCAUGACCUUCAGCUCACGAGCACACCUGGAGAAAUUCAGAACCAGGUUCUGAAUCAUCACGAUUGCCUUUUGCAUGAAAACAUCGGCUGGUGAUGUGACUUCUCUUCAGGCCAUGAGCCUAACACCCUGCCGGUUUUCAUGCCCGCUGCAGUAAUGGACGUUUGUGUGAAGAAAUGAACUGUGGAGUACAAAAUGCUUUGAGUCUUUCCGAUUGCUCAUUAAUUCACUUUUUUGUUACUUCUUUCCAAAAUGGAAGUGCUGAAGCCAUGGUCUUUCUGCCCCUCCAAGCUGAUGAAGGGAAGCCUUUGCCAAUGGCCCAUGGAAGACACUUGGUUUGAGAAACCCUGCCCACUUCCAAAGACCAAAGAGAUUAGGAAAAGCCUGGCAGUAUUCUCCAACUCCAAACAAGCUCUAGAGUGCUCCAGGAAAAGUUAUAUUCAGUAUAUGAAUAAGUGUUAUUCUCCAUUAUUAAUGUGUUCUGAAAAUAUAUUAUGAAUAAAUACAUCACCACACCCAAA